rnacentral:rRNA from 1 species
CAAAUAAAUCAAAACUUUCAACAACGGAUCUCUUGGUUCUGGCAUCGAUGAAGAACGCAGCAAAAUGCGAUAAGUAAUGUGAAUUGCAGAAUUCAGUGAAUCAUCGAAUCUUUGAACGCACAUUGCGCCCGCCAGUAUUCUGGCGGGCAUGCCUGUUCGAGCGUCAUUUCAACCCUCAAGCCCAGCUUGGUGUUGGGAGCUGCAGUCCUGCUGCACUCCCCAAAUACAUUGGCGGUCACGUCGAGCUUCCAUAGCGUAGUAAUUUACACAUCGUUACUGGUAAUCGUCGCGGCCACGCCGUUAAACCCCAACUUCUGAAUGUUGACCUCGGAUCAGGUAGGAAUACCCGCUGAACUUAAGCAUAUCAAUAAGCGGAGGAAAAGAAACCAACAGGGAUUGCCCUAGUAACGGCGAGUGAAGCGGCAACAGCUCAAAUUUGAAAUCUGGCUUUCGGGCCCGAGUUGUAAUUUGUAGAGGAUGAUUUUGAUGCGGUGCCUUCCGAGUUCCCUGGAACGGGACGCCAUAGAGGGUGAGAGCCCCGUCUGGUUGGAUGCCAAAUCUCUGUAAAUCUCCUUCGACGAGUCGAGUAGUUUGGGAAUGCUGCUCUAAAUGGGAGGUAUAUGUCUUCUAAAGCUAAAUACCGGCCAGAGACCGAUAGCGCACAAGUAGAGUGAUCGAAAGAUGAAAAGCACUUUGAAAAGAGAGUUAAAAAGUACGUGAAAUUGUUGAAAGGGAAGCGUUUAUGACCAGACUUGGGCUUGGUUAAUCAUCUGGGGUUCUCUCCAGUGCACUUUUCCAGUCCAGGCCAGCAUCAGUUUUCGCCGGGGGAUAAAGGCUUCGGGAAUGUGGCUCCCCUCGGGGAGUGUUAUAGCCCGUUGUGUAAUACCCUGGUGGGGACUGAGGUUCGCGCUUCUGCAAGGAUGCUGGCGUAAUGGUCAUCAACGACCCGUCUUGAAACACGGACCAAGGAGUCGUCUUCGUAUGCGAGUGUUCGGGUGUCAAACCCCUACGCGUAAUGAAAGUGAACGCAGGUGAGAGCUUCGGCGCAUCAUCGACCGAUCCUGAUGUUCUCGGAUGGAUUUGAGUAAGAGCAUACGGGGCCGGACCCGAAAGAAGGUGAACUAUGCCUGUGUAGGGUGAAGCCAGAGGAAACUCUGGUGGAGGCUCGCAGCGGUUCUGACGUGCAAAUCGAUCGUC